GAGGGUGCGAGCGUUAAUCGGAUCUACUGGGCGUAAAGCGUGCGUAGGCGGCUUUUUAAGUCGGAUGUGAAAUCCCUGAGCUUAACUUAGGAAUUGCAUUCGAUACUGGGAAGCUAGAGUAUGGGAGAGGAUGGUAGAAUUCCAGGUGUAGCGGUGAAAUGCGUAGAGAUCUGGAGGAAUACCGAUGGCGAAGGCAGCCAUCUGGCCUAAUACUGACGCUGAGGUACGAAAGCAUGGGGAGCAAACAGGAUUAGAUACCCUGGUAGUCCAUGCCGUAAACGAUGUCUACUAGCCGUUGGGGCCUUUGAGGCUUUAGUGGCGCAGCUAACGCGAUAAGUAGACCGCCUGGGGAGUACGGUCGCAAGACUAAAACUCAAAUGAAUUGACGGGGGCCCGCACAAGCGGUGGAGCAUGUGGUUUAAUUCGAUGCAACGCGAAGAACCUUACCUGGUCUUGACAUAGUAAGAACUUUCCAGAGAUGGAUUGGUGCCUUCGGGAACUUACAUACAGGUGCUGCAUGGUUGUCGUCAGCUCGUGUCGUGAGAUGUUGGGUUAAGUCCCGCAACGAGCGCAACCCUUUUCCUUAUUUGCCAGCGGGUUAAGCCGGGAACUUUAAGGAUACUGCCAGUGACAAACUGGAGGAAGGCGGGGACGACGUCAAGUCAUCAUGGCCCUUACGACCAGGGCUACACACGUGCUACAAUGGUCGGUACAAAGGGUUGCUACCUAGCGAUAGGAUGCUAAUCUCAAAGAGCCGAUCGUAGUCCGGAUUGGAGUCUGCAACUCGACUCCAUGAAGUCGGAAUCGCUAGUAAUCGCGGAUCAGAAUGCCGCGGUGAAUACGUUCCCGGGCCUU
rnacentral:rRNA from 1 species